AACGCACAUUGCGCGGUAUGGCAUUCCGUACCGCACGGAUGGAGGAGCGUGUUCCCUCUGGGAUCGCAUUGCUUUCUUGAAAUGGAUUUUUUUAAACUCUCAAUUAUUACGUCAUUUCACCUCCUUCAUCCGAGAUUACCCGCUGAACUUAA
rnacentral:misc_RNA from 1 species